UGGGGAUUCCCUAACCCCUUCUUUCUUGGCACAGACAGGCAGAGAACACCUCUUUUCUCACCCCUGGGCAGCCCCAGGAAGUCAAUCCUUCCACUAUUCCUGCUCCGUGCCUCUCUUCCCUCUGCCCAGAUUCCUGGGAGACUCAAAACCCUGUUCAACUCUCUCUGGGCUAGCUGCUCCCCUCCCCAAGAGGAUUUCUCUCCAGAGCUGGUAUCAUCGCUUAAUGAUGUUCCACCAACAAGGGGAAGGUUUCUUUUCUGGGAGCUGCUAUCACUGAAUACAUAAAGAAAUUGAGCCUAUAUGAUUUCAAUCUUCACCUUCUGAUGCUGAUGAAACAGGAUUCUAUGCAGUUUACAGGGGGCCUGGAGGAAUGAAUCAGUGGCAGUGAGUGACAGAGUGGUCUCAGCAGGAAGAGGUGGAGGCAACGCUGGGAUUUGGAAAUGCCUCUUUUUCCACAGGGAGAAGCAGCAGGCUGAAGUGGCUCUUUAGGGAGACACAUACCUCCA
ensembl:lncRNA novel transcript